CUAGAAGUGAUGAUUAUUUCCCCAGAUGACCGACGCUGAAAUUACCGAGCGAUUUUUCUCUUUUGAGAAACCAAGCCAAAAAAAAAAAAAAAGCUUAUUCUUU